AGAAAGCAGAUGACGAAAAGAAUGCCGAUUACUUUCCAAUCAACUGAAUAUCUUGGCAUAGCAAGGCCAUAAUCAAAGGAUAAUUUUGAAAGGUCACCUGUUCAAUUAAGCUUUUUCGCAGUGCCUCUAGUACUGGACGGAUGUUUGGCCAAGAGCUUUAGAACACGAGUCUUCAUUUAUAUGCAUCAGAAGAGAACUUGAAUUCGUUGGACGCAUUUAGCAAUAAAAGCGCAAUGAAAAGAACUGGUUUUGUCAUUGUGCGAUACCUAAUUUCUGGCAUCAUCUUCAGCUGGCAUUCCUAUCUCGAUGCCGCGGGGCAAGAAAAAAUGUCAUCCUUUCUCCGAGUCGAUAACAGCUCCAUUUCUUUGUACCCUGCAGAAGUGACAGAAACCUGGCCCGAAUGUAGUAUUGAUUUCAAAUGUAAUUUUCUGGUUAAGCAACAGGAGAAAUCGAAAGUUGAGAAGAGAGAGUCGAUCAUUGCAGUAACCGAUUACUUUGCCGUGUGGAAGAAGAUCCCCUUUCCUUCUUACAGAAGCUGCAAAAAUGCAUAUUCUUCAGGGACCAAGGAAAGUGGAACGAUCCAGCUACUUUUGCCUACUCUUCCGUUGAUUAGCACCUUCUGUGAUAUGACAACCAAAGGAGGUGGCUGGACUAUUAUUCAAAGAAGAGUUAAUAACGACUUUGACUUUCACAGGAACUGGAAUGACUAUAAGACAGGUAAAAUUGCUUAAUUACCCUUCUGUCUGGCUUUUUUUACAAACACACUCAUAACAACAAGGGUUAAAAAGAAAAGCUUUUCGUUCCGGUGAGUCGUUGUGAUUUGUGAACAACUUUUUUUAGAUAAAUGUAAUACUUUUACUUUUCUGUCUGCAUCUAGCUUUGAAUUUUCUACUUAUAUGAUCUCACUACUCAUUUCUGUCAUUUUAUGCUCUCCCUGGUAGCCUG